rnacentral:rRNA from 1 species
ACGGGUGAGUAACACGUAGGUAACCUGCCUAUGAGACUGGGAUAACUAUCGGAAACGAUAGCUAAGACCGGAUAACUGGUUUUCUCGCAUGAGAGAAUCAUGAAACACGGAGCAAUCUGUGGCUUAUAGAUGGGCCUGCGGCGCAUUAGCUAGUUGGUAGGGUAAUGGCCUACCAAGGCGACGAUGCGUAGCCGACCUGAGAGGGUGAACGGCCACACUGGGACUGAGACACGGCCCAGACUCCUACGGGAGGCAGCAGUAGGGAAUCUUCCGCAAUGGACGCAAGUCUGACGGAGCAACGUCGCGUGAGUGAUGAAGGUUUUCGGAUCGUAAAGCUCUGUUGCCCUAGACGAACAGCAAGGAGAGUAACUGCUCCUUGUGUGACGGUAUAGGAGAAGAAAGCCCCGGCUAACUACGUGCCAGCAGCCGCGGUAAUACGUAGGGGGCAAGCGUUGUCCGGAAUUAUUGGGCGUAAAGCGCGCGCAGGCGGUCAAUUAAGUUGGGUGUUUAAGCCCGGGGCUCAACCCCGGUUCGCAUCCAAAACUGGUUGACUUGAGUGUAGGAGAGGAAAGUGGAAUUCCACGUGUA